rnacentral:rRNA from 1 species
UACAGAGGUCCCAAGCGUUACUGAGAAUCACUGGGUUUAAAGGGUGCGUAGGUGGUCCGUUAAGUCAGUUGUGAAAUCCCCGGGCUCAACCCGGGAACUGCUUCUGAUACUGGCGGACUUGAGGCCAGUAGGGGUCACUAGAACUGACGGUGGAGCGGUGAAAUGCGCAGAUAUCAGGAGGAACACCGGUGGCGAAGGCGGGUCUCUGGGCCGAUACUGACGCUGAGGAGCGAAAGCGUGGGGAGCGAACAGG